UCGAGUUUGCUUCUGAUUCCACGCAACUUCCCAUCUCUCUCGUUCUUUCCCACGCAGCUGCCGCCGCCGCUAGGGUUGGCUUGCCGCCGAUGACCGCACCACCGGAGACCAUGGGCACUCGGAAAACGGCGGCGAUGAGGAGGGUCGGCCCUUGGCGCAGACUCCCGUCCCCGAUCGAUGGCAGCGUCACAUCCCUCCGUCUCGCGGGGCAGGGCCUCCCGUCCGCGCCACGAUGCCGCCGGCAUGGAGGCCCGGGCUCGGGCAGCCGCCACGGUGUCGGGUACGCCAAGUCGAAGAUCCGACUCACCGAUCCGCAAGUAGCAGCUGGAUUGGGGGUCGUGUCUACCCAGGGGCGCCGUCAUGGGGUGCUGGUGGUGUUGCCAUCGAGGGCGGCGAUGAGGCUCCGCGGCCAGGAUGUCGCCUUCUCCCUCGGCUUCGUCUGCGCCCGAUUCAUUCUCGACCGCCUUGUCUACAAGGUUUGCGGGUUAGUCGGCGUCGUGCCCGUCAAGCCCGCCGCUUGGUACGGGGACGAGGAGGAAGAGGAGGCAAGAGAUUUGUUCGGCUCCAACAACAAGGAGUACGUCAAGACCCGCGUAGCAACUACCUAAUUCUAGGUCGGCCUCUCGUUACUGAAUUAGCCGCUAGAUUCUCCGGGGCCAAGUUAUCUCCUCAAUAUUUGGUGAGCAAAAUUUCUUAGGAGAUUGCUACACAACCCUACCCAGUUUGUGUGUGAUUGGCUGGUUUUGUUGCUCGUGGGGCUCUGGGAGCUGCAGUGAACGUUUUGUCUGUGGCAGAAUUAACCUUCUCGCUUGAGUACAUGAUGAACUCUUCAUGCUGCAGACUUGUGUUUGAAUUAUUGUUCCAAAUUUCAGCAGUGUAUGUCAGGCUAAGUAGAGCAUAAUGUUGGAUUAAAUUCUCUGCUAGCAUCUUCUGGUUCUUGCUUGAUUUUCUAGAGUCAGAGAGACUUUGUUACAAAAGCAUUAAGCAGAACUGCUGAAGAGAGUAGAAGAACAAACCAUGAAACCACAUAUAUAAUUGGGUCGUAUUCGCCUCGAUGGGUCUCAACCUGCCACGCGGAGCGACUCCCGGAUGCUGGAGCUCGACGGCGAGGGAAGCGCCGCCCCUUUUCACGGGCGCCGGUUGCUGGUGCUGGCAGGAGGGACGAGCAGGCGUGCGGCAGCCUCAAGCUUCUCCCAUGUGCCUGGACGCCAGCGGCACAAGGGAUUGAGGAGCAAGGGGCGAUGCCAAGGGCGUGGAGUGGGGGGUUCACAUGCAGAUGCAUAUCAUCAGCAACCACUGAGACCUCGUUCAACCUCAAGAUGCUAGCGUCCUGCCUCCAUUUCAAGUUGUUCGCCACGGUCGCUGCCUCAUGUCAGGUAUUGCGCGCAGGUAAUAUGGUGAGGACACAAAUUUGGGUGUCCAGCUCCUUGCCUGCAUGUGCAAGGAAUUCAGAACAUGCAGUGCAACAGAUGAAGCCAACGCGGACGAUGAUUAACUUCUCCGACCUUAUGGUAGGUUGAAUCUGAAUCACAUUGACAGGAGGAGCUUUGGAAGUUUGUCAGGGCGGAGAGUAGAAGUUUGCCAAAAUCAUGCUGCGCAUUCUUUGCGUGUAUCCAAAAUCAGGUCUUCCAUUUGUCCAACUCAAAGUGCAAGCGCUAUUUCCACAACCAUCUCAAGCCUGCCAAGCUUAUAUGGACUGCCAUGUACAUGAAGCAGCACAAGAACGUACAUGGAUAUUCGUGUUGAGGCUGCAAAGAAGAGGCAUCGUGCCACCAAGAGUCCGUAUGGUCUCGCUGUUCUACGCCUCUGGACGCGCCAUUGACGACCAUACCACCGUCUAUGCAUAGAAUCCAUGUGUCGUGUUUCCUGUUUCUCUAAGACUUUUUAAUUCUGUCGUAUGAUGUGAGGAAAUAUGCCUCUGCUUUAUUAUCUAUAUCAUCGUUCAUGUAACCUCUAAGAAUCCGGUCCUUGAAUGUGUUGCAUUCGCACAACUGUCUUAUUGUAGCUAGAAACUUCUCUGGAUGUGUUGCUUUUGGACAACUGUCUUAUCAUUUGAGUUAGAACUUGCACGUAUCAUA